rnacentral:rRNA from 8 species
AAGACUCUCGGCAACGGAUAUCUCGGCUCUUGCAUCGAUGAAGAACGUAGCGAAAUGCGAUACUUGGUGUGAAUUGCAGAAUCCCGUGAACCAUCGAGUCGUUGAACGCAAGUUGCGCCCGACGCCAUCAGGUCGAGGGCACGCCUGCCUGGGUGUCGCACAU